rnacentral:rRNA from 1 species
AAUGAACGCUGGCGGCGUGGAUUAGGCAUGCAAGUCGAGCGAGAAGCUCUCCUUCGGGAGAGUGGAAAGCGGCAAACGGGGUAGUAAUGCGUCGGAACGUACCCUUUUGUCCGGAAUAGCCGGGGGAAACCUCGGGUAAUGCCGGAUAACCUCUUCGGAGCAAAGAUUUAUCGCAGAAGGAGCGGCCGACGUGAGACUAGCUUGAUGGUAGGUAACGGCCUACCAUGGCAAAGAUCUCUAGGGGGUGUGAGAGCAUGGCCCCCACCACCGGAACUGAGACACUGUCCGGACACCUACGGGUGGCUGCAGUCGAGAAUCUUCCGCAAUGGGCGAAAGCCUGACGGAGCGACGCCGCGUGCGGGAUGAAGGCCCUUGGGUU